rnacentral:misc_RNA from 1 species
AACGCACAUUGCGCCCACCAGUAUUCUGGUGGGCAUGCCUGUUCGAGCGUCAUUUCAACCCUUAAGCCCCAGCUGCUUAGCGUUGGGAGCCUACCGGAGACCUCCUCCCGUAGCUCCCCAAAGUCAGUGGCGGAGCCGGUUUAACACUCCAGACGUAGUAGCUCAUACACAUCGCCUGUAGCCUAAACCCGGCCCCCUGCCGUAAAACACAACGAAUAUUGUAUAGGUUGACCUCGGAUCAGGUAGGAAUACCCGCUGAACUUAA